rnacentral:rRNA from 1 species
AUGAAGAUAGCUCUAGAACAAAUGCAUGGUAAAUAUGAGGAUAGUUUUCAGUUGUUGUUCAAUUGGAAAGCAGAGAUAGAGAAGAGAUGCCCUGGUAGUAUUGUUGAGAUUGAUUUGGUCAAGGAAGAAGAUAAGUACUAUUUCAAUAGAGUCUUUGUAGCUUUCAAACCCUGCAUAGAUGGUUUCUUAGCCGGAUGUCGACUGUACAUAGGAGUAGAUGCAACUGCACUGAAUGGCAAAUAUGUUGGUCAAUUAGCAUCAGCAACCGGAGUUGAUGGACACAACUGGUUGUAUUAUGUAGCAUAUGCCGUAUUUGAUUCAAAAACUACAGAAAACUGGGUAUGGUUUAUGCAGCAGCUGCGCAGGGCUGUAGGUGUCCACCAGGGCUAG